AGUCCUGAGGAAACUUUGCUCCAAAGCCCUGCAGCAGACCAUUCCUGCACCACCACUAGCCAUGCUUAUGGGAUUGCCACAGCAACCUGGACUGGUCCUCUGUGGUCCUUGUCGACUUCAUAUGGUCCUGGUCAGUCUGUGAAAAUAAAGUCAGUCACUCUUGCUACCCACAAAGUGUGAUGCACAAUAACUGUUACUGUUCGGAGACAAACACUCCAUCUAAACAAGAACACUCAGAAGCACCUGGGGACAUAAUCCCCUUCCUCCAGCAAACUUUCCUACAUAUCAGAUCCACGUUCUAUUUUGAAGUUAGAAGAAAGAAAUCUUUAAAGAAAAAGGAAAUGUCAGGGGAGGCUCCUGAAGCAGAGGAUCAACCUUUGCUACCAACAUCUCCUCCAAGGACAGCCAAAACCUCCCAGGGGCCAACAGGAUAG
rnacentral:lncRNA from 1 species